GUCUACGGCCAUACCCUGAACGCGCUGAUCUGGUCUCGGAAGCUAAGCAGGGUCAGGCCUGGUUAGUACUUGGAUGGGAAGAUGUUUGAGAAGGAUUGGCCCUAAAAAGU
ensembl:rRNA 5S_rRNA 5S ribosomal RNA